GGAAGAAUGAGGGCCAAAGUGAAGGAGAGGCGAAAGGAGAGAAAGUCUGGUUAAUUGCCUGCAGAGAUUGCUGCCUCUUUUUAAAAACUGAUCUUGAGGCUCCAAUUGUUCCAGAUUAAGCAGAACUACUGCUGCUUUCAUAAAUUAAUUUAUGUAUUUGAAAUUUGACAAAUUCUUUCGUCUGAGGCGGCAACCUCUGCAGGAAAGGGACCAGACUCAAGAGGAAGAGCUCAUCCUCUGAGCGUGGAGGUGGUGCUGGAGCUACAGGACAGGUCCGGAGAGCUUCUAGGACCUGACGCUCCACCUCCGAUGGCUGCUCCCUAGGCCUUCUCUGAGCUCUUCUUCUUGAUGGUGUUGUAUCAAAUGAUAACACAUUUUGUACAAUGAGAAGGCAGAAAAGGAUUAAACUCAUUCACAAACUGUCAGUGUUGUGUGAGGCUAUGAGUGCUUACUGUAAAUGUAAUAUGCAUGUAAACAUGGUCAUUAUUGCCUGUACACACCUGUGGGUACAGCAGCAGAUGUUGAAGGGCCGGCAGUGGAAGCUGAAGCAGCAGUAGGUUCUGGUAGAGGGGACCCAGGCUCACUGCCAUCAAAAGAACCAGUUGGCUCUGUCAUGACAAAAUUAAAUAAAAAUAUUAUUAUAUACAGAAAUAUUAAUAACAUUACACACAUUGCACAUAACAUCAGACAGAGAGAAAUUAAUUUAGACUUUUCAUCAUAAAAAACAACAUAUAUGCCCUGUUGUGUUGCUUCACUUGUCAACACACCUCCUGUCUCUGAGUGCCCUGCUGCUGCUGCUUCUGUCUCGCCCUGGUCCUCGGGGUGCUCGUACCCUGCGGCCUGAUUCUCCUCAUCCUCCCUCUCCAUAUUCCCGCUGGUCUCCUGUGGGGAGACGAAGAGGUCGAGGAAAGACAGGACCGCAGAGUACUUGCACUUUUUCCCUGACCCUGCUGCUGACCACUCCUCUUUGUCUCCUUUCUCCUCUCUUUUAAAUAUGUGUCCCUCAGACCCUUACACUUCUUUCUGCACACUUCCUCUGAAUAAAUACAUCAACUUACCAGAUUGUCUGACCUCCUCACUCACUUUCUUCCAAGCAAGAUCCUUUUUAUUCCUGUUUUUGUAAAAGUAUGAAGAAGUAUCAUACAGCUCCGGGUAUCCACAUACAGAGCGACUAUGACUUUCUCCUCCAUUGCUGUUUCGGAUUUUCC
ensembl:lncRNA